rnacentral:lncRNA from 1 species
GUACCAGCCUUUCUUUUUUUUCCUUUUUUUUAUAUGAGGUAAGGAGAAUAGUAAUAACAAUAAUAAUAAUAAUAAUAAUAGGGAUAAAUUUGGGGUGGAUCUAUAUUCGGGCUUAGGUUCGGCUUCAAACUGGACUUGAAUUGAAUUCGAUUUAGCCACAUUUGAAUUUCAAAAUUUAAAUUUAUUACAUCCUCCUUUUUUCUCAUUAUUACACAAACAAAUGCCCCCACCUCUUUUUUAGCUUGCUGAUUGUGCAAGAAAGAGAAAAAAGGUACUACUCGUACUAGGCAUAUGAACUUCACAUCAUAAAGUUUGUCAUGUCUUUUUUUUUUUAUGCUAAGCUCGGAUUGGUAAGUAUUUCACCCUCUCUUUUCUUUCCUUUUUAUAGCUAAUAUAUGAUAAUGCUGUCAUAUCAUGUAUUCAUUUUAUUUUAUUUUAUUUUAUUUUUAUGUCUUCACGUAGAAGAUGGAGCACCUAAUUCAUCCUGAUGACAAAAUCUUAGGCAUAGCAAGAGGUAUUUCUCUAGUUCAGGCUUCUCCGAUUCAUAAUAGUAGAACGGAUCCAAUUAUUCCUUACAAUAGACCCGUGUUUAAGGAAUGGGCAGUUUUUAAGCAAAAACAACCCUUAGGUCGUUUUGGUCCUCAUUAUUACACACCUGACGGUGAGGAAGAUGUCGUACUUCUUCCACCUUUAGGUUUACCCAAAGAGAGGGAUACAUUGGAAUCUUUAUGUUACAAAAUAUUGAAUGGUCAUCCAAGCUGGGGGGGGGGUAAAGAUUGGCCACUGGGAGAUAGUGAAGAUAUUGAUGGUUUUGAGAGUUGGGCUGAUUAUAUUUUGUCACGAUAUACCUCACAAUUACAGCAUGCAGAAAUUUUUGGUGGUAUAGUUGCUUCACGAGGAAAGUAUCACAAAAACAUGAACAUUAUUAAAGCACUUGUAGAGUUGUGGUGUUCAGAAACGAAUACAUUUCAUUUGCCAUAUGGAGAAGUUGGAAUUUCCUUGUGGGAGAUUAAAGAACUAAGUAGNUUUUUUUUUUUUUUGUGAGGAGGAGAAGAAAGAAAAAAUAUUUCUUUUUUUUUUUUGAAUGGAUAUCUGUACCUUUUUUUUUUUAACGAACCUUGUUUCUCUCUCCUUCUUUUUGCCAAAGUAGUUUAUCUCUCUAACAACCUUUUUAAAAAAUCCUCCUUCUCUUAUCAUAUCUUUCCCCUUUUAUAGAUCUUCUAGUUAGUUAGUAGAUGGGAGUUUUUUUUUUAGUGGGUUAGAGGGUUAAUGGGAGAGAUUUUAGUAGGUUAGUAGGAAUGUGGGAAGGCUUUUUUUUAUAUUAUUAUUUUUUGAUGUGGGGGUGAAUGGGAAGUUAGGAUUUUUUUUUGUUGUGGGGCCCACACAAGAGAUAUAAUUAUCAUAUAUUCAUAUUUAUGAGAGAGAUGGUGGGACCCACAUCUCUAACUAACCACCUUUUUUUUCUCUUCUUUUGUUGUGCCACCCCCUGGCGUACCAGCCUUUCUUUUUUUUCCUUUUUUUUAUAUGAGGUAAGGAGAAUAAUAAUAAUACUAAUAAUAAUGAUAAUAAUAAUAAUAAUAAUAAUGGGGAUAAAUUUGGGGUGGAUCUAUAUUCGGGCUUAGACUUGAAUUGAAUUCGGUUUAGCCACAUUUGAAUUUCAAAAUUUAAAUUUAUUACAUCCUCCUCUUUUCUCAUUAUUACACAAACAUAGCUUCGCACGCCUCCGCGUCGCUCCGCUCAGUGUCGCUCCACUCCGCCUCCUGUUGCUCCAGGUCUUUCAC